rnacentral:rRNA from 1 species
UACGUAGGUGGCAAGCGUUGUCCAGAAUUAUUGGGCGUAAAGCGCGCGCAGGCGGUUCUUUAAGUCUGAUGUGAAAGCCCACGGCUCAACCGUGGAGGGUCAUUGGAAACUGGAGAACUUGAGUACAGAAGAGGAAAGCGGAAUUCCACGUGUAGCGGUGAAAUGCGUAGAGAUGUGGAGGAACACCAGUGGCGAAGGCGGCUUUCUGGUCUGUAACUGACGCUGAGGCGCGAAAGCGUGGGGAGCAAACAGG